rnacentral:rRNA from 1 species
UUACAAUGGAGAGUUUGAUCCUGGCUCAGGAUGAACGCUAGCGGCAGGCUUAAUACAUGCAAGUCGAACGGGAUUCGAGGUAGCAAUACUUUGAUGAGAGUGGCGCACGGGUGCGUAACGCGUAUGCAACCUACCUAUAACUGGGGCACAACCCCGCGAAAGCGGGGCUAAUAUCCCAUAACAUUGCGAGGAGGAGUCUCUUUGCAAUUAAAGCUCCGGCGGUUAUAGAUGGGCAUGCGUGACAUUAGCUAGUUGGUAAGGUAACGGCUUACCAAGGCGACGAUGUCUAGGGGUUCUGAGAGGAUUAUCCCCCACACUGGUACUGAGACACGGACCAGACUCCUACGGGAGGCAGCAGUAA